rnacentral:rRNA from 1 species
CCUACGGGAGGCAGCAGUGAGGAAUAUUGGUCAAUGGACGAGAGUCUGAACCAGCCAAGUAGCGUGAAGGAUGACUGCCCUAUGGGUUGUAAACUUCUUUUAUAAAGGAAUAAAACGAGGCACGUGUGCCUUUUUGCAUGGACUUUAUGAAUUAGGAUCGGCCAACGCCGUGCCAGCAGCCGCGGUAAUACGGAGGGUCCGAGCGUUAUCCGGAUUUAUUGGGUUUAAAGGGAGCGUAGGUGGGUUGUUAAGUGAGUUGUGAAAGUUUGCGGCUCAACCGUAAAAUUGCAAUUGAUACUGGCAGUCUUGAGUACAGUAGAGGUAGGCGGAAUUCGUGGUGUAGCGGUGAAAUGCUUAGAUAUCACGAAGAACGCCGAGUGCGAAGGCAGCUUACUAAACUGCCACUGACACUGAGGCGCGAAAGUGUGGGUAUCAAACAGGAUUAGAUACCCCAGUAGUC